rnacentral:rRNA from 1 species
AGUGAACGCUGGCGGUAUACCUAACACAUGCAAGUCGAACGGCAGCACCGUAAGAGCUUGCUCUUACGUGUGUCAAGUGGCGGACGGUGCCGUUAUGCAUCGAAAUAUACUUUUUCGGGGGUGAUAACGUAGGGAAACUUACUCUGAUACCGCAUACAACCUACUUGGAAAAGCAGGCGUUCUUCUAGCCUGUCGCUAUGGAAUAAGCCGAUGUAGGAUUAGCUAGUUGGCUGGUGAAAGGCGCACAAAGGCCACGAUCCGUAGCUGGUCUGAGAGGAUGAUCAGAUAGACUGGAACUGAGACACGGCACAGACUCCUACGGGAGGCAGCAGUGGGGAAUACUGGACGAUGGAGGCGAGCCUGAUACAGCAAUACGGCGUGAGUGAAGAAGGCCUUAGGGUUGUAAAGCCAUGAAGUCGGGAAAGAAAUGCAGCAGUUUUACACGCCGUUGUUAUGACGGUACCCAAAGAAUAAGCACCGGCUAACUUCGUG